CCCGCGCUCCUCCGGGCAGAGCGCGUGUGGCGGCCGAGCACAUGGGCCCGCGGGCCGGGCGGGCUCGGGGCGGCCGGGACGAGGAGGGGCGACGACGAGCUGCGAGCAAAGAUGUGCCCCGGGACCCCCGGCACCUUCCAGUGGAUUUCCUUGCGGAAAGGAUGUUGGCGGUCCCUGUGACCUGUGGAGACACGGCCAGAUCUGCCCUCCAGCCUGAUCUUUUGGCCAGAAGGAGAUUAAAAAGAUGCCCCUCAAGAUGGCUGUGCCUGUCAGCUGCAUGGAGCUUCGUUCAAGUAUUUUCUGAGCCUGAUGGAUUUACAGUGAUCUUCAGUGGUCUGGGGAAUAACGCUGGUGGAACCAUGCACUGGAAUGACACACGCCCGGCACAUUUCAGGAUACUAAAAGUGGUUUUAAGGGAGGCUGUGGCUGAAUGCCUCAUGGAUUCUUACAGCUUGGAUGUCCAUGGGGGACGAAGGACUGCAGCUGGCUGAGAGGGUUGAGAUCUCUGUUUACUUAGAUCUCUGCCAACUUCCUUUGGGUCUCCCUAUGGAAUGUAAGACCCCGACUCUUCCUGGUGAAGCAUCUGAUGCACGUUCCAUCCGGCGCUCAGCUGGGCUUGAGCUGACCAUACUCCCUGGAGCCUUCUCCCGAGGUGCGCGGGUGACCUUGGCACAUACAGCCAUCAUGAUGGUACUUUAAGUGGAGGCUGAAUCAUCUCCCCUUUGAGCUGCUUGGCACGUGGCUCCCUUGGUGUUCCCCUUUUACUGCCAGGACACUGAGAUUUGGAGAGUCUCUUCACCCUCUGAAAACAAGAGGAUGUGUAGCAUAGUGAGCAACAGCUGUGUGCCGGGGACUCAGCAUUAAGUAGCAUGGGAUUACUCAUGACUUCGCACUCAUGGCAGCCUCACAGAGUCUCACUCUGUGGUCCAGGCUGAAGUACAGUGGCAUGAUCCCAGGUCACUGCAACCCCCACCUCCCGGGUUCAAGUGAUCCUCCUGCCUCAGCCUCCCGAGUAGCUGGUAUUACAGGCGUGUGCCACAAAGCCUGGCUAAGUUUUGUAUUUUUAGUAGAGACGGGGUUUCACCAUGUUGGCCAGGUUGGUCUCGAACUCCUGACCUCAAGUGAUCCACUCACUUUGGCCUUUCAACGUGCUGGGAUUACAGGCGAGAGUCACCGCACCCGGACGACUCUGACAUUUUUGAAGAGUCCAGAAUCCUGUUACACCUGGGAUUUAGGCACUUUCAAUCUGAAAAAAUACAUAUCCUUUCAGCACUCUGGACGGACUUGAGAACUGUCCUUACGUGACCUAAAGCUGGAGUAUUUUGAGAUUGGAGAAUUAAGGCCAACAGAGAUUUUGAGAAACACAUUGAAGGAUCUGUUAACACUUGAUAUACCCAAUAAAAGCAGUGGUUGUGCCAGUGCUGAUCUGUCUUGAUGUGAAUGUGAACAAUGGGAACCUGAGCUGAGCAGUUAAUGCUAGGGUGACAGAAACUGGACCUCUCCCAAGACAUGUGACAGAGUAAUACAGCAGCCAACUUCUUCGCCAAAUUAAAGUUUUACAAGAUUUAACCUGUCAUCAAGACCUGGGAUUUUGGUGAGCCAGUCUUGGUGCUCUGUGUUCACCUGGUUCAUCUGAGGAGCUGCAUCUACCCUGCCCAUGCCAUAGAUCCUGCCCUGUUUGCUUCUCCUGUUGCUGCUAGUGGACAUGAGAAGGACAGAAUAACGGGCUCCCAGAUUCACAAGCCCCACCAAGAGGAUCACCCCAGGAACGCUUGGAGGCUGAGGAGUUCACUGAGGCUACUGCAUCUUGAGACUCAGGAUGAAGACCCAGCUUGGGGCUGUCAAAGGUUUUUUGCAUGUCUGACACCCAUGACUCCACCUGGACCUUAUGGCUCCACCCAGAAGCAAUUCAGCCCAACAGGAGGACAGCUUCAACCCAUUACGAUUUCAUCUCUGCCCCAACCACUCAGCAGCAAGCACCUGUUACCUGUCCACCCCCACCCCUUCCCCCAAACUGCCUUUGAAAAAUCCCUAACCUAUGAGCUUUGAAUAAGAUGAGUACGAACUUCAUCGCCCACGUGGCGUGGCCGGCCUCGUGUCUAUUAAAUUCUUUUUCUACUACAA
rnacentral:lncRNA from 1 species